rnacentral:lncRNA from 1 species
AGGAGAGAGAGUUGGAGAGAAGAACGUUCUCUAGCAGAGUUAGAGAGAUUAGUGAGGAGAGAGAGAGGAGGGGGGUUCUUUCUGGUUCUCGUUCCAGCCCAGGAUGAAAAUGCCCUGUGUGCAAGGAGGGGAGCAGGGACUGAUAUGGGUCAUGAGACUCUCAAAAGGAUUACCUUGAACUGAAGUCAUGAGACCAAGGCUUGAACAAAGAGCUGGCUCACAUGCUCAUCAUAUGAGCCCCGCUUCAUAAAGUCAUGUCGUUUCAUAUCUACUGGGCUUCAGUGGGCUAGGAGGACCCGGGUGAGAGCAGCUAGAGAGCUGGAGAUGGAGCUGGGCUGGAGCUGGGCUGGUGGGAAGUUUCUUGAGAGUUCUUAGAGUUAUUGAGUGUUCUUGAGUUCUAAGAGAGUUCUUGAGUUCUAAGAGAGUUCUUGAGUUCUUAGAGAGUUGUUGUGUUCUUCUUUACUAGUAGUUGGGUGUUAGAGUGUUGAGUUGCUCUUGUGCUCCUCUUGAAGUUUCUACUGGAUGCUCUUCCACUGACGGCCCACAAAGCUUGGAUUGAGAAGACGUUUCAGAAAAGAGAGUGCAUCCAAAUAUUUCCCAGCAAAGAACCAAACAGGUACCAUUCAUGUCACUGUUUUCCCAGAACCCAACAGGUACCAUUCAUGUCACUGUUCUCCCAGAACCCAACAGGUACCAUUCAUGUCACUGUUCUCCCAGAACCCAACAGGUACCAUUCAUACUACUGUUCUCCCAGAACCCAACAGGUACCAUUCAUACUACUGUUCUCCCAGAACCCAACAGGUACCAUUCAUGCCACUGUUCUCCCAGAACCCAACAGGUACCAUUCAUACUACUGUUCUCCCAGAACCCAACAGGUACCAUUCAUGUCACUGUUCUCCCAGAACCCAACAGGUACCAUUCAUGUCACUGUUCUCACAGAACCCAACAGGUACCAUUCAUGUGACUGUUCUCCCAGAACCCAACAGGUACCAUUCAUGCCACUGUUCUCACAGAACCCAACAGGUACCAUUCAUGUCACUGUUCUCCCAGAACCCAACAGGUACCAUUCAUGCCACUGUUCUCCCAAAACCCAACAGGUACCAUUCAUGCCACUGUUCUCACAGAACCCAACAGGUACCAUUCAUGCCACUGUUCUCGCCGAUCCAAUUUUCCUUGCUCCUCACUAUUCUCAUAUGCUUCCAUGAUGAGCACCAGAUCAUUUGUUGAGGCAGAGAGAGAGAGAGAGAGAGAGAGAGAGAGAGAGAGAGAGAAGAGAGAGAGAGAGAGAGUAAGAGAGAGAGAGGAGAGAAGAGAGAGAGAGAGAGGAAGAGAGAG